rnacentral:rRNA from 1 species
UACGGAGGGUGCAAACGUUGCUCGGAAUCAUUGGGCGUAAAGCGCACGUAGGCGGUCCAGUAAGUCGGGUGUGAAAGCCCUCGGCUCAACCGAGGAAGUGCAUUCGAAACUACUGAACUUGAGUAUGGAAGAGGGUCGCGGAAUUCCCGGUGUAGAGGUGAAAUUCGUAGAUAUCGGGAGAACACCUGUGGCGAAAGCGGCGCACUGGACCAUAACUGACGCUGAGGCGCGAAAGCUAGGGGAGCAAACAGGG